rnacentral:lncRNA from 1 species
UUUGGCUGAGAGAGGACUGCAGCUGCUCAAGGGUUUCCUUUGCUGUGCAGACGAUGUGACUGUUGUAUGCACUGAACAAUGCCUGCACAAGACAGUACGCAAUAAGUUUUUGGUGUGGUGACCUUUUUACAGAUACUAGAGUUGUAGCCUCUCUUACUUCUGGUGUCUGCCCCCCUUGUGGCUGAAGAGAGAAGUUGAGCUCCAGCCCUUCUAUUCUGCCAUCUUAAUUCCAUCUUCCUUUAAUUGCAAUUUUAAUACAUACUAGGGAGUGUGGAACAGUCAAGGAUAUCUGGAAUCCUUCAAGAACUAUGCUCUGGUUUAUUUCGUUUGUUUCAAUCUGUGGCCGAGUGGCUGACCCUCAGCCAUCAGCGAGCUGCCUCUGAAAAUAUUUUAAAUUAUUUCAAUAAAAUUUCCUGAAAGAACCUAAGAAUUAAGAUUAAUUCAAGUGCUAUAUAUUUUUCUGUGGAUUGAAAAUUGAUCCAAAAUAAACGUUUCUUUAUAUCCUAGAAUUUAGAGAUUUUGACAAAAUAAUGAUGUUUAUUGAGAUACUUUGAAACUAUGUAUAUACC